UUUUUUUUUCUUUUUUUUCUUUUUUUUUAAUGGUUUCCCUUGCUGUGCAAAAGCUUGUCAGUUUCACUAGGUCCCAUUGGUUUAUUUUUGCUUUUUCUUAUGUUGCCUUGGGAGACUGACCUGUAAGGUUGAUAUCAGAGAAUGUUUUGCCUAUGUUCUCUUUUAGGAGUUUGAUGGUGUCUUGUCUUAUGUUUAAGUCUUUAAGCCAUUUUGAGUUUAUUUUUGUCCAUGGUGUGAGAGUGUGUUCCAGUUUCAUUGAUUUACAUGCAGCUGUCCAGUUUUCCCAGCAGUACUUUCUGAAAAUACUGUCUUUUUCCCAUUUUAUGUUCUUGCCUCCUUUGUCAAAAAUUAAUUGACUGGUAGGUGUCUGGGUUUAUUUCUGAGUUCUCUAUUCUGUUCCAUUUGUCCGUCUGUCUGUCUUGGUAUCAGUACCACACUGUCUUGGUGACUGUGGCUUUAUAAUAUUGUCUGAAGUCUGGGAGAGUGAUGCCUUCUGCUUGGUUUUUGUUCCUCAGGAUUGCUUUGGCAAUACUGGGUCUUUUGUAGUUCCAUAUAAAUUUUUGGAUGGUUUGUUCUAGUUCUGUGGAAAAUGUCAUGGGUAAUUUGAUAGGGAUUGCAUUGAAUCUGUAGAUUGCUUUGAGUAGUAUGGCCAUUUUUACAAUAUUAACUUUUCCAACCCAGGAGCAUGGAAUAUUUUUCCAUUUCUUUGAAUCCUCUUUAAUUUCCUUGAUGAAUGUUUUAUAGUUCUCCUUGAUCAGGUUUAUUCCCAGUUAUUUGAUUUUUUGGGGUGCAAUUUUAAAAGGUAUUUUUGUAUUUCUUUUCUAAUAUUUUACUGUUAGUAUACAGAAAUGUGACUGAUUUCUGAAUGUUAAUCCUAUAUUCUGCUACUUUGCUGAAUUUGUUGAUCAGUUCUAGUAGUUUUUAGGUUGUCUCCUUAGGGUUUUUUGUAUAUAGUAUCAUGUCAUCUGCAUACAGUGACAGUUUUACCUCUUUUCAAAUUUGGAUACCUUUUAUUUCUUUUGUUUGUCUGAUUGCUGUGGCUAGGACUUCCAGUACUAUGUUGAGUAAGAGGGUGAGAGUGGGCAUCCUUGUCUUAUUCCAGAUUUUAGUGGGAAGGCUUUCAGCUUUUCUCCAUUGAGUAUUAUAUUUGCUGUGGGUUAGUCAUAAAUGGUUUUUAUUAUGCUAAGGUAUGUUUCUUCUAUACCCACUUUGGUAAGAGUUUUUAUCAUGAAUGGAUGUUGGACUUUGUCACAUGCUUUUUCUGCAUCUGUUGAGAUGAACAUGUGGUUUUUGACUUUUUUUAAUUAAUAAGUGUCUAUGAAAAUUUUAAAUUAACAAAAAAAUGUUUCAGUUAAAACUUUCACAUAGCCGUUCAAAGCUUAAAUCAUCCAGUGAACCAUUCAUAAGCUUAACACUGAGUAGCACAUGAAGUACCUUGGAAGAUAAUAUGGUGGUAACCUACACCUGGAGGGGGGAGGGGAGAAUUGAGCACUGGCUUUUGGAGCACUCACUCGCUUUACACUGGCCAAAAACCAAAACUCGUUUAUGCGCAUGUCCAGCAACCAUGUCUGCAGGUGUGGAGAAGCACUGGGCCACCGGAGUCUGUUUUGUAAAAACUGCUCUAGGACAUGUUCGAUGCCAUCUCACAGAAGCAUGAGAAAAGGAGCCUGGUGAGAUUGGAAAGGUCCCAGAAAGAAAGUAGCUAGCUGGGAGAACACAAAUGGGGAGAAUGUUGACUGCAGUAACAAGGGUCCUAGGGCAUCCCACGGAAGGGUCACUGUAGUGGGGACCUGCAGUGAGACUGAUGGGAUGGGGGCAGGGCAAGGGUACAUGGAACUGAGCUGUAAGCAGGGUGCGCUGUGGGGUUCUAGAGUGUUACAGGGUCUUCGUUGUUUGCAAGACUCAGAUCUAAGUAGUGUACGCCUGUUAACUUGCUCAGUCUUCACAUCCAGCUCUCAGAGGAAGAGCUUCUAAUGAGCCGUCGACAAAGGAACAUGAAGAGAUCCGUUUGAGGCAAGUGUUUUUGACCGAAGAGGGACUGAAGUGGGAAGCACUGUACACACACUGAGCUCCCUGAGUAUGUUAUGCCUUGAACAACAUAUUUAAACUUCAUGAGUCCACUUAGGUGUAGACUUUUUUCAGUAGUAGCUGCAGGAUAGCAUGACCCCAGUUGAUUGAGUCUGUGAAGAACUCACAUGAAGAAACAUGGAUGUGGAGGAGGUUUAUAUGCAGGGAGCAGACCAUAAGUUACACAAGGACCUUCAGCUCCACCCCAUGUUGUUCAACAGGCACCUGUAUUUUGCACAUCUGUUUUUUUUGUUUUGUUUUGUUUUUUGUUUUUUUUUUAAUGAGUGUUAUAGCAUGGUCUCGGGUUAUGGUUGUGGAAAUUGGGAAGGAGGGCUGAAAACUAGGGACAUUUUUUGAGGUAGAGUUAAUGGAGUUUUGUGAGCUUAGCCUUUAUCAGGUGUGAAAUGCUGCAGAGGUGACUGGGUUCUCCGGGGUCACAGUUGGAGGUGAGUGGAGUGGAGCUGAAGUGGUGUUGGGAAUGAGGAUAUAACAUUUAUUCUGGAAGUUUCAUGGUGAAUCAGAGAGGAGGGUUUUCCCUGUCUUUCUUUUCAGGGAAGCAGGAUGUACAAGGUCUGAUUUUUUUGAACUAUUGUGGGCUUAUGCUUUUUUAAGGUAGCCCAGAAUAUACCAUAUUUAGUUCCUGUUAUGUUUGGUUAGAGAAGUAACCUAUUUACUUUUCACAUCUUUAAUAAGAGAAAGCAUGGAAUUGUGACAAAGUUAAUGAAAUUUUGGGAGUUCCCUGGUGGUCUAGUGGUUAGGAUUUGGCACUUUCACUGCUGUGGGCCUGGGGUGAAAACUCUGGUCUGGGAACUGAGAUCCCAUAUUAAGCUCAUUUGCAUUCCAUGGCAAAAAUAAAUAAAUAAUAAUUAAUAAAAUUGUGGUUUAUGCUCUAGGGUUUAUUUUCUUGUGUACCUGGGCUGCUUCUGAAAUCCAUUGAGGGAGAAACUUUCACGCCUUUCCUUUUCAGCUCCCAUUGCCCAUAGAUUUGAAGCAUUUGGACCUUCUUUGCAGAGAACAACAUUUCCCACAAGGCGCUGAUGGCUGUGUUCUAUCACUUUGUUCAGAAAGUCCAUAAGAAAAAUGUCAAUGUGAAGCAGCGGAAAUUUGGCCUUCAUGCUGCUGCGCUUUAUUUUCUGCUGCUGGAAGUACCAGG
ensembl:lncRNA